GACGAACGCUGGCGGCGUGCUUAACACAUGCAAGUCGAACGGAAAGGCCCUGCUUUUGUGGGGUGCUCGAGUGGCGAACGGGUGAGUAACACGUGAGUAACCUGCCCUUGACUUUGGGAUAACUUCAGGAAACUGGGGCUAAUACCGGAUAGGAGCUCCUGCUGCAUGGUGGGGGUUGGAAAGUUUCGGCGGUUGGGGAUGGACUCGCGGCUUAUCAGCUUGUUGGUGGGGUAGUGGCUUACCAAGGCUUUGACGGGUAGCCGGCCUGAGAGGGUGACCGGCCACAUUGGGACUGAGAUACGGCCCAGACUCCUACGGGAGGCAGCAGUGGGGAAUAUUGCACAAUGGGCGGAAGCCUGAUGCAGCAACGCCGCGUGCGGGAUGACGGCCUUCGGGUUGUAAACCGCUUUCGCCUGUGACGAAGCGUGAGUGACGGUAAUGGGUAAAGAAGCACCGGCUAACUACGUGCCAGCAGCCGCGGUGAUACGUAGGGUGCGAGCGUUGUCCGGAUUUAUUGGGCGUAAAGGGCUCGUAGGUGGUUGAUCGCGUCGGAAGUGUAAUCUUGGGGCUUAACCCUGAGCGUGCUUUCGAUACGGGUUGACUUGAGGAAGGUAGGGGAGAAUGGAAUUCCUGGUGGAGCGGUGGAAUGCGCAGAUAUCAGGAGGAACACCAGUGGCGAAGGCGGUUCUCUGGGCCUUUCCUGACGCUGAGGAGCGAAAGCGUGGGGAGCGAACAGGCUUAGAUACCCUGGUAGUCCACGCUGUAAACGGUGGGUACUAGGUGUGGGGUCCAUUCCACGGGUUCCGUGCCGUAGCUAACGCUUUAAGUACCCCGCCUGGGGAGUACGGCCGCAAGGCUAAAACUCAAAGGAAUUGACGGGGCCCCGCACAAGCGGCGGAGCAUGCGGAUUAAUUCGAUGCAACGCGUAGAACCUUACCUGGGUUUGACAUGGAUCGGGAGUGCUCAGAGAUGGGUGUGCCUCUUUUGGGGUCGGUUCACAGGUGGUGCAUGGCUGUCGUCAGCUCGUGUCGUGAGAUGUUGGGUUAAGUCCCGCAACGAGCGCAACCCUUGUUCACUGUUGCCAGCACGUUAUGGUGGGGACUCAGUGGAGACCGCCGGGGUUAACUCGGAGGAAGGUGGGGAUGACGUCAAGUCAUCAUGCCCCUUAUGUCCAGGGCUUCACGCAUGCUACAAUGGCUGGUACAGAGAGUGGCGAGCCUGUGAGGGUGAGCGAAUCUCGGAAAGCCGGUCUCAGUUCGGAUUGGGGUCUGCAACUCGACCUCAUGAAGUCGGAGUCGCCAGUAAUCGCAGAUCAGCAACGCUGCGGUGAAUACGUUCCCGGGGCU
rnacentral:rRNA from 1 species